CAGAAAAUAGUUUAAAUAAAAUAUUAGUUUUGGGAAUUAAUGAUAGGGAUAAUCUCUUUUUCUGA
rnacentral:tRNA from 1 species